rnacentral:lncRNA from 1 species
AAAAUUUAAAUUUGUAAGUAACAAAAAAAUUCUUCGCCCCCAAAAAAUCGCUUUAAAUAAAGUACCUAGAAUUUUGUUUCAAUUUAAAAAUAUUUUUGCUGACCCUUUUUACUUUCUCGCUCCCCUAGGGUGGAGAGGAAGUAUUUUUUUUUUUGGUGGUGCGCCGAAAGAUUCCGCGAUGCAAACCAAUAUUUUCGAGGAUACCACCCAACAAGAAGAAUACUCCUUGUAGGAAUAUCAACAGAUUUUGCUUCGCCGUAGAAGGGCUUAUGAGUAUGAUUUCUCAUCCAACAACUCUUGGUCGGCAACGCUGCGACCUUCUCGAUCAGCUACAACUUUCUUCCUCGGUGUUUUUUUCAGCCUUACUUUAAAAUUUAUAUUUCACUCUCUUCACCUGUGAAUAAGCGGAGCCCCUGCCUGCAUCACUCAUCAUACACAUUUUUGCCCUUUCCACUCGAUAAGUACAUCAGUGCCCUGCAGUGCGAUUUGGAAGAAGUUGCAUCGCGCGUAGACCUGUCAGAUAACUGUGUCAGUGACUCAUCUACCUGGUCAAAGGAUUAACAAGACUCUUUUAAUCUUCGGUCAUCGACUUAAAGCUCACAACCCUCAUAACUUUGUUUUUUUUCUCGCAACGGAAAUACCUCGUUUGGCAAAUAAGGCGCCUACCUCAAAAGUUGUUCGAUUUAUUUUUUUCCGACACGGUUAAUGACAUUUUAGUUCCCAAGCUGCCAUUUUUUCGAUUUUGCUGGCUUCUAUUUCAUUCAGCAUUUACCGAUAAGCAAAGGAAAAUUAUUUCGAUGGUACACCUUACAUAAUUUAACAUGGGUGUAAAGACGCACGUGAAUUGGAUUAUUGUCUCCGUAAGUGUUCUGUGGACCUCAGUGUUGUUGGCCGCCAUAGUUCAAGAUUGGCAAAAAUGGAUGAUAUUCCGAGAUGUGCACACCCACAAACUGAUCCCUGUGAUUAAUCCGCCGACGAACAAUGCGUCGAGGGUCCAGCUCUUGCGCAUGGGGCCCAUCCCUUGCUCUUGUCAAAGUCUCAUUUGCGGUUGCUGCGUUUUUAUGGAUGUCGAGUAUUUUGACUACCACCGAAACGGUUGUAUGAAUAUGACCUACUACCCGAACGAUUUUGCCGUGGGAGCUAAUAUGCUGUGGAAUGGGGAAUCUGUGUGGUCUCAAAAUGUAUCAGGCAAGAACCCACCUCCUGUGUGCAUGCAGAUGCCGAUCCGUACCUGCCAGCGAUGGACAUGUGCGUGCGCAUGUUCGACAUCUACACCCCCUCGGGCCCAGAAGGCUACAACAUCCACAUGUGCAUGAACUGGGAGUUCCGAACGGAGCGAGCCCCUCUGCUUGUCCUGGAGUUCGAUUGCUUCCGCAUGGGACAGGACGGAUGGGCCAACAUCAAACCGGGCACCCCCAACGCCGGGCUCCCUGUUGACAUGGGCAUGGGCUCCGGUGGCGAGGGCAUGCCCGCGGCUGGGGAAGAGGCAGCUCAAGGUAAGAGUACCCUUUAAUUUGAACGUGGAUUAAGGGAAUAUAAAGAAAUCCCGACGCAAUUUAGAGCAUUCACAGGAUGAACGAGGGUCCA